rnacentral:lncRNA from 1 species
AGAUCCUGGUACUUCCCUGUGUGGCCCCUCUGUGGCAUGGCCCCUGCUCUUGGUACCUAACAUAAUUUUGGACACAGUGAAUUUUGGACACAUGAACUGCAAGAAAGAUCUGAAGUGAGACUCGGGAUACAGAAUAGAAGUACCGGGGCACAGAGUCCAGUCCAGCAGAAUGGAGACUAAUUCUGUGGCCCGGUGGGUGUGUUUCUGUUGUCUCUGGCCCCUCUUUGUCCUGGCUUCCGUCCUUGGUGUUUGGACAGAAGCCCCACCUUGUACUUGAACAUAAUCAUGAUAGGGACAGGAGGCGGGGAAAUUCU